rnacentral:rRNA from 1 species
UACAGAGGAUGCAAGCGUUAUCCGGAAUCAUUGGGCGUAAAGCGCACGUAGGCGGUCUGUUAUGUCGGAUGUGAAAGCCCUCGGCUCAACUGAGGAAGUGCAUCCGAAACUGGCAGGCUAGAGUACUAAAGAGGGUCGCGGAAUUCCCGGUGUAGAGGUGAAAUUCGUAGAUAUCGGGAGGAACACCGGUGGCGAAGGCGGCGACCUGGGUAGAUACUGACGCUGAGGUGCGAAAGCGUGGGGAGCAGACAGG